GACGAACGCUGGCGGCGUGCUUAACACAUGCAAGUCGAACGGAAAGGCCCUGCUUUUGUGGGGUGCUCGAGUGGCGAACGGGUGAGUAACACGUGAGUAACCUGCCCUUGACUUUGGGAUAACUUCAGGAAACUGGGGCUAAUACCGGAUAGGAGCUCCUGCUGCAUGGUGGGGGUUGGAAAGUUUCGGCGGUUGGGGAUGGACUCGCGGCUUAUCAGCUUGUUGGUGGGGUAGUGGCUUACCAAGGCUUUGACGGGUAGCCGGCCUGAGAGGGUGACCGGCCACAUUGGGACUGAGAUACGGCCCAGACUCCUACGGGAGGCAGCAGUGGGGAAUAUUGCACAAUGGGCGGAAGCCUGAUGCAGCAACGCCGCGUGCGGGAUGACGGCCUUCGGGUUGUAAACCGCUUUCGCCUGGGACGAAGCGUGAGUGACGGUAAGGGGUAAAGAAGCACCGGCUAACGACG
rnacentral:rRNA from 1 species